UUUAGUGAAAAAUAUGGCGCCAUAAAUAUAGCUAUUUUUUUUAAAGUUGUAGCUCCUUUGAGUAAAGGCCGGGAUGUUAUCUAUUGCAUUUAAAAACAACGUGAUUUUUUUCAACAAUCUUCAAAUUUGACGGUGAUUAUAUUUUUUCCUUUUCUUUUUUUGGAAAAUUAGAUGUGGUUUAAUCCGUGAAAGAACAAAUGGGCCACAUAAGCCCAAACCUGGGCUAUCACAAAUGCCACCGGAAUAAGUUCACUUUGGGUCCCUCUAUUUGUCGCCCAGUCCGAUUUUCGUCCCUUGAUCGCAAAACCGGGUACGACAGGUCCUCCAACUUACGAAACCGUUUAAAUAAGGUCUCUCGGCAGUAUUUGACCCCGGUUUUAGCUGAGGUGGCGCCUACGUGGCUAAUUUGACUCGGUCUUUAUCUGACGUGGCAUUGACGUGGUGAUUACGUGGCAAUUCAAUCAAAAAAUAAUAAAUCCUAUGGGACCCACAUGUCAGUUUCACACCCACAAUAAUAGAAAAUUGGUGGGGCCCACGUGGACCCCGCCUGUCAUCUUCACUACCCCUUAUCUCUAUCCCCCUCUCUCUAUCGUCUCUCUCCUUCUCUCUAUCCCCCACUGCUCCCCAUCGUCAUUGUUGCUCUCCUCUCCGUCUUCCUCCGUGGCGGGCGGCGGCCGGAGCGACCGGCCGGCGGAGCGGGCGACGAGCGGGGCGGAGAGGCCCUCCACCAUCGCCACGACCUCACCGCCUGCCUGCUCCCCCUUCGCGCAGCUCCGCGCCCAUUCAGUGAGCUGCUCUGAUGACGCUGGAGUCCGCGCCGGUGCGAAGAGCCCGGCAGCCGGCGUGCGGAGGCGAGGUGCGCUCCUCCGCCGAGGCCGUUGGUGGUAGGCUGAGGUGGCCGGGCUGUCACCGUGCUCGUGAACGAUGGUUAAGGAAAAAAGUGGAAAAGUAUGUGUUUAUUUAGCCGGUAAUUAAUUAACAGAGCUAACCAAAAUCACCAGGUUGCUUCUGGUGGCCGCCGAGAUUUCAUGCAGCAUUUCGCCGACGAGAAUUUAGCCAUGGCGGCGCCGCCGCCGACGGCCCGCGGCGAGCCGGCUGUUGAUGGGCGAUGCCGCUUCUGCCAUGGAGAUCCGCCCGCCGCUGCCUCCCGCCGGCGAGUGGCGACAUCUCUGGCGCCACCGCGUGGCGCCGAACUACUGCUGCACCCCUCCGCCCACGUGCACGGCUCUGAACUCCGCGCGGGGUCUGCGCCGGCGCCGCGGACGAAGACGAGGAGUAGCUUCUAGGGGCGGGCGGCGCCCCCCACGCGGAGCCCCUCCCCCCAGCGCUCCCGCCGCCGACACCCAGCCUUCUCCCGUGUCGUCGUUGUCGCGUCGUCGGCCACCACUGCCGGACCUCCUUGUGACGCCGUGGAGAGGGAGGGAGGAGGAAGAAGAGAAGGGUGAGAAUGACAUGUGGGGCCUACGUGGGCCCCAUCAUUUUUAUUAAUUUGUGCGUUAAACUAACAUGUGGGUCCCAUGUGGAUUAAUAUUUUUCUACAUCGAAUUGCCAUGUCAAUGCCACGUCAGAUGAAGACUGAGUCAAAUUAGUCACAUAGGCGUCGCGUCGGCCAAAACCGCCCUCUAUACUGCCGAGGGACCUGUCCGGUUUUCGUAAGUUGGGGGACGGGUCAUACCCGUUUUCGUGGUUCAGGAUGAAAAUCGGACUGAGCGACAAAUAGAGGGACCCAAAGUGAACUUAUUCCAAUGCCACCAUAGAACAAGGCCCAAAACACAACACAACCAUCGGUUCACGCUCAUCGUGUGGGACCCACCUGUCCGCCGCACAGUGCCCCUCCGCGCCGCCCUCUGUUUUGCCGCCGGGAAAACCUCCGCCUCCGCCUCCGCCGCCGGGGAGUUCGCGAUCCGAUGGCUGGAUCGGGAUCGCUCCUCCCGCCGCGCUGAAGGCGCGGGCUCGGCGAGGCGCAUCCGUCUUAGAAGCUGAACAUCUUCAAGCAAAGCAGAACACCAUUAGUACUGACAUAAGGGAAAAAGGUGCAAAUAGAAGAUGUCUCAAGGUUAAUAAAUUUUUUAGUAAUAUUGCAUUUGGAAAAAAUAUUAGAUUCUAUUGACAGUUGCUGAACAUAUCUGUGGCUGUUAUUGAUUUAUUUGUUCUGCACUUAUACUAAAUCAAAGUACUAUACCAAAGAAAGGAUCAAAAUUUAAUUAUCACUUAUGAAGGAUGUAGUAGGACCAAAUUAAAGGUGACCUCCUUUACUUAUUCUUUGCUUAUUUUAGUGCACAUAUGUUCAGUUAAACACUGGUACAUCGACAGUAGCAGAAAUCUCUACUAGCACUUAUGCUCACCUACUGUGUACCUUCAGGCUUCAGGAUCUCCUGUUACCUUUACUUUAAGGAGCUUUUCUUUGUGUCUUCUUUUUUAUUAUUUGUUAAUGACAAAUGUCAACUAAAUUACAUGCUACGUUGUGAUCAAUGGGGUUCCUUCUUACACUGUUAGAGACAAUGAAAGCUUGCAAACGUGAGGUAUCUUCCAUGACCAGAGUCCACUAACUAGUAAUGCGGAUUAAUUGAAGGAUUCUAUCAUUCUAGUGGCAGAUUAAAAAUUAAGGAUUUUAGUAGAAGUCUCACCAUUAUCCUCUUGGCAUCUGUAACCUUCUUGAAAGAUCCUGUUCCAGAUUGUUUCAAGUUUCCUCGGCCAUCAAGUAAGCCAAACCUGAUCAAUAUUUCCUUUGACCAAGCAACUCGAAUUUUGGGAUUCUUGUGAUACAGUAUAUGGCGCUUCCCUUUCAUUACAAAAUUGUUUUACUUUAUUAAAUAGAAAAAAGUAUCUAGUUACUGACCAAAAUCUGCCUUUGAUGCAUGCCUUUGAUUAAUUAUUUGUAAUUACACAAGUCGCCACAAUCACAAGAUGCCUUCUAAUAAUAUCCAUAGAUUGUGGUUAUGAGCACCCCCAGCCUUCUAAGAUGCUGUUAGUGCUGCUAAUUUCCAGCUUUUCCUUAUCCCCCACUAGGCACACAAAGCUAAUGUCGCCAUCUGCUUGAUCCAGAGCAUCUUGAGCAUGAUCUUCCUUUGUUGGACUCUGCCUUAGCCCAUUGAAAUAAUAGCCAUUAAAAGUCCAAAGGACUUUUUACAUGGAUUUAUUCUCACAGAAAGAGCAUCAAGAAGGGGAAAGGAAGAUUUAGAGUACAGGAAUGAUCGGUGUGCCUACGAUGAGGACUGAAAUAUUAACUAGUCAAUAAAACUAUAAUGUGAUAAGGGAAUCUUUGAAGUUCUCAAUUAGAAAAUUGAUGACUUGGGUUGAGCACCUUGAGGUUUUUGCUCCAGUCCAUUCAUAUCACAUAAAGGUAGUAGUAGAUUACGUGGUUUGUGCUAUGAAAAGAGUAGGUCAAGGGAUAAAGCCUCUUCAUAGGGUUCAAUGUAUGUACAGCCAAGAAGACAUGCUCUUAAGUUGGAUGUUUCCAUAGGUUUGUGCUCUCUCUUUGGACCAUGUUCAGCAUUGUUUAUGAUGUUACAUGUAUGCUAUUUAGCUAGGUGAGGUCUACAAAUUGAGCACUGCCUUUUUGACAAAUGCGCUGUCCAUUUCAUCCAAAAUUUGCUGCUCCUUGUGUCUAUCGAAUGAUGGAUGCCUUUACUGUUGUAGCAUAGAGUUGAAUUGAUUGUUUUAGGGGGACCAAGACUACAAUUUGACACAAUACUAUUAUAUUGCUCGAUGGUGCUAAACCAGCAAACUUAAGAUGCACCGUGCAACUUGUGUUUGCUUCUAGGAAAUGCCUGCUGCUCUGUUUUUCUUUUCUCCUUGAUGAUUACUGAGUUAUUCCCUUCUGGAACCAUAUCUUAAUCUCUCUGUUUGAUGAACAAUAUAUAUCUUUUUUGAGGGAACAACAGAAUGCCUGCUAUUUCUUAGUUAGAGUGGGAUUUGACCAGCAAUAUUAUUGAAGUUUUCAUUUGCCACUUUUGCUUGCGUUGUUUGGGAAAAGAACAAAUCCUUUGUGCCCUUAAUGGGAGAAGAAUUCUGAAAUUCCUUCAGGGCAGGACAAAUCUGAAUGCUUAAAGCUACUCAUUUUCGUUUCUGUCCUGCCCCACAACUGAAGCCUGAUGGUUGGGUCCAGCAGUCACACGACGCCAACAUGGCUACAUUCCAAUUCAGAGGCUGCUAGGUUAUUUACUAGAGUACUAAAAGCCACAUCUUGUAGAUUUUUUUUUUAAAAAAAGCAAAGGCCAGACCUUUCUAGAUCCCGGUGAGAAGAAAAAAGAAUGGAAAAUAAAAGGAAUAAAAGGUUUGGUGUAUUUUCUUCCAGAAGAAUAACAGUGUACCAGCAGUUUGAGAAUAUUCAAGUCUUAAACUAACCCAUGACCGUCUUUGUUUUCCAGAAAACAGGCAGACAAGUUCAGGAGAAACUUACUGGCAGGAGCAUAUGUUUAUGUCCAUAGAAGCAAGAUCUUGGGUUGCUUUGCUCCAUGCUUAAGUCUUGUCUUCAAAAAUCCAAAAUCCGGUUGACUUUAUAUUGUUACAAAAAGAAAUAGCCAGUGCCAGGUGUUCCAGUUGGGAUCUUCUGUGGAGAUGAGAGGCAGCAACAGGAGAGAGUAGCAGAUUCCUUUGUUGUUCUGCCCACAAGAGAGAACUCACAACUCACAAGUAGUAGCAGUAACAACAUCAGCAGCAGGUACUACUAGACCCACACACAUGCAAGCACAGAUAUGAGUAUAUGAUCUUUCUCCCAUGCCACAAGUGAAAAGAUUUCUCCCUCUCCAUUAUCCUUUGUUUCCUUUUGCCUUUUGUAUUGUUCUGAAUGCAUGCUGCUAGCUACUCCAGCUACUGGUUGCUCUCUCUACACAUGUGUGUAUACAACUACACAUACUAUGCUUAUUUGUACAAAAUUUUGUGCAGGGUUGGAAGCAAGGGAUCUCUGCAUGCUGUGGUUGCAUGACACAGAUGCACAUGUCCCUUUUGGUGGGUAAUGAUGGGGUGCAGGUGGAGGUGAUGAUAGAUUGCCUCAUCUGGGGACUGAGACAUUCCAUCCAAGGGUGCCCAAUGCCAUGCCCUCACAUUCACUCACAGCUAGUAGAGCUAUCCCCCUCCCCUCCCCUCUUUGCAAUAUUCCAUUUGUUUGCUAAUGUGUUGUAUCAAGAUGCCCUUGAUGUGAGUGUUCACUGCCCUCUCUGUCCCUCAUUUUUUGCAUCUCUCAUUCUCAUGCAUUGCAUACCAUGUACAACUACUGCUUCAGCUAGAAUUGCAUGUGAUGUAUAUAUAUGAUAGUAUAUCCUUUGCAUCUCGGGAAAAUAUGUAGUGCAAAUCACAUAUAUAGUGGAAACUUGAAAACUACCGUUGAAUCGAGAAAUGGACGUCCGAGAUUCGUCCACGUCAUCAUGAGUUAAAAUUUAACUCGCAGAUUCACUCAUGAGUUAAAAUUUUACUCGGAGUUAAAUUUUAACUCAUGAUGACGUAAACGAAUCUCGGACGUCCAUUUCUCGAUCCAAUGGUAGUUUUCAAGUUUUCACUACAUAUGUGGUUUGUACUGUAUAUUUUCCCUUGCAUCUCCAUGUAUCUCAAAAGUUACAUGAGUGGCACUUGCUACUGUGCAUGUAGUAUGUGUAGCAGCUAGGUUAUAAAUUUCUUUAUGUGUAACAUGUGUGUGAUGCAUAGUAUAUGCAAUGUGAAACACUGACACAGCUAGACCAGGUGUGGGGGGUGUGCUUGUUCUUGUUGCAAGGAAGUUAUCUGGAGGCCAUCAUCAAUGAAGAUCCCACCAAGGGACAAAACAUGAGAUGGUUGGAGACUUGGGUCUGUCUAGUCUCUAUUCAACCAUUUAAAGCAUUGCGUGUGUAGGCUACACUCGGAGAGAGAACACAGAGCAGCCGUCCAAACCGUCUGAAAUGAUAACUUACUCUAAGCUAGUAGGAGUGCUAGUAGUACCCUCUAUAUGUGCAAUUUUAUUCGUUAAAAAGGUUUCCAUGCAUGCUUUUUUAGUUUAUCAAUAGCCUAAACCUUUUGAAUUAUUAAGAGUUAAUUAGUCCCAAGUGUGUAUGAUUACUCCCCCAAAUUCUCUU